rnacentral:rRNA from 1 species
AUACGAAGGGGGCUAGCGUUGUUCGGAUUUACUGGGCGUAAAGCGCACGUAGGCGGAUUGAUAAGUUAGGGGUGAAAUCCCGAGGCUCAACCUCGGAACUGCCUCUAAUACUGUCAAUCUCGAGACCGGAAGAGGUGAGUGGAACUCCUAGUGUAGAGGUGGAAUUCGUAGAUAUUAGGAAGAACACCAGUGGCGAAGGCGGCUCACUGGUCCGGUACUGACGCUGAGGUGCGAAAGCGUGGGGAGCGAACAGGAUUAGAUACCCCAGUAGUCC